rnacentral:rRNA from 1 species
CGGCGGACGGGUGAGUAACGCGUGGGUAACCUGCCUCAUACAGGGGGAUAACAGUUGGAAACGGCUGCUAAUACCGCAUAAGCGCACAGUACCGCAUGGUACGGUGUGAAAAACUCCGGUGGUAUGAGAUGGACCCGCGUCUGAUUAGGUAGUUGGUGAGGUAACGGCCCACCAAGCCGACGAUCAGUAGCCGACCUGAGAGGGUGACCGGCCACAUUGGGACUGAGACACGGCCCAG